CGGCCACCACCGCUGCCAGGGAGCCAGGAAGGCUGCCUGUCCUCACCAGUGCCCCUCACAGGCGCCUGCAGCUGACCCAGCGUGUCCUUGGACGCCCCGCACGGGGACCGAGUGGCCAGGCCACCGGCGUCCGCAGGGCCUGGC